GUAAGGUGUGGAGUCAGGUGAAAAGUGGGAGUGAAGGCAAAGUGAGUUAUAAAGUUGGACAUAGGAAUCAAAUCAGGUAUAGUUAGGUAGGGCAACCUACAGCACGGACUCCACUGGCAUUGGAGAUCUGUGAAGGAGAAGCAGGCAACAUAGGAAAACUAAUUUUUUGUUUUAAGAGAAGAGUUCUAAAACCAAACGAAAUGGCCAUUGAUUGGGAGAUCUUGAACUGAUUUAUUCUACUUUCCAUUUCUCACUUCAGUUAUGAGAUGGGAUUCCUUCUGGGUCCUUUGAAUGUUUGUUAGGACCCACCGACCAAGAAAAGUUCACAUCUCCAUUACGCCACUGAUGUGUACUUCAAUGGUAUUCCUGCAACUUAAUUUUUGAAGAUUCGUUUCACACUUAUUGGAAUUCAAGGGAAUGGUGGAAAAUAUAUUGGCGUUUUGUCAUCAAGUGUUCGACAUCCAUAUCAGUCAUGACUAAGGAUUGUUAGAUCCAGUCAUCCCAACGGUAGGUGAAAGCUUUGAGGUCGAGAUCAAGUCUACUCGUGAAAUUGCUGGUGAUUUAUGGUGAAAGCUUUGAGGUCGAGAUCAAGUCUACUCGUUUCAAACUUGUACUUUUUCUGUAAUGGCCGUCCUGUGGCUUUCAUAACUUGUCUGUUAAUAUCAUAUAGACUUUUAGGUACUGUUCUAAAGCUUUCAUGGUUAUGUCAUUAUGGGUCAUAUAGCUUAUCAUUUUGGUCGUACAUGUUGGAACUCUCCACCAGUGUAAACAAUGUUGAUUACGCCUUACUUCUCCUUUCAUACCUAUGUAAGUCAAUUAAAAGUAUUCAAUCAGAUACAUAUUAAUCUAGAUAAUUAGUGUUUGAUAAGUAAGAUUAUAAAAAAUUUGAUUUAUUUGGUA